rnacentral:rRNA from 1 species
AAGAAACUAACAAGGAUUCCCCUAGUAACGGCGAGUGAACCGGGAAGAGCUCAAAUUUGAAAUCUGGCGUCCUUCGGGCGUCCGAGUUGUAAUCUAUAGAAACGUUUUCCGUGCCGGACCGUGUCCAAGUCCCUUGGAACAGGGUAUCAGAGAGGGUGACAAUCCCGUACUUGACACGACGACCGGUGCUCUGUGAUACGUUCUCUACGAGUCGAGUUGUUUGGGAAUGCAGCUCAAAAUGGGUGGUAAACUCCAUCUAAAGCUAAAUAUUGGUGGGAGACCGAUAGCGAACAAGUACCGUGAGGGAAAGAUGAAAAGCACUUUGGAAAGAGAGUUAAACAGUAUGUGAAAUUGUUGAAAGGGAAACGAUUGAAGUCAGUCGUGACCGUUGGGUUCAGCCGGUUCUGCCGGUCUACUCCCUUCGGUCGGGUCAACAUCGGUUUUGACCGGCGGAUAAGGAAGGGAGGAAUGUGGCACCCUCCGGGGUGUGUUAUAGCCUCUCGUCGCAUACGUCGGUCGAGACCGAGGAACGCAGCUCGCCUUUAUGGCCGGGGUUCGCCCACGUCCGAGCUUAGGAUGUUGACAUAAUGGCUUUAAACGACCCGUC